CCUACGGGGUGCAGCAGUGGGGAAUAUUGCACAAUGGGGGAAACCCUGAUGCAGCGACGCCGCGUGAGUGAAGAAGUAUUUCGGUACGUAAAGCUCUAUCAGCAGGGAAGAAAAAAAGUCCUUUUGACUUUGGACGGUACCUGACCAAGAAGCACCGGCUAACUACGUGCCAGCAGCCGCGGUAAUACGUAGGGGGCACGCGUUAUCCGGAUUUACUGGGGGUAAAGGGAGCGUAGACGGGAGGGCAAGUCUGGAGUGAAAUGCCGGGGCCCAACCCCGGAACUGCAUUGGAAACUGGGAGGCUGGAGUGCAGGAGAGGUAGGCGGAAUUCCUAGUGUAGCGGUGAAAUGCGUAGAUAUUAGGAGGAACACCAGUGGCGAAGGCGGCUUACUGGACUGUAACUGACGUUGAGGCUCGAAAGCGUGGGGAGCAAACAGGAUUAGAUACCCUUGUAGUC
rnacentral:rRNA from 1 species